GACGAACGCUGGCGGCGUGCUUAACACAUGCAAGUCGAACGGAAAGGCCCUGCUUUUGUGGGGUGCUCGAGUGGCGAACGGGUGAGUAACACGUGAGUAACCUGCCCUUGACUUUGGGAUAACUUCAGGAAACUGGGGCUAAUACCGGAUAGGAGCUCCUGCUGCGUGGUGGGGGUUGGAAAGUUUCGGCGGUUGGGGAUGGACGCGCGGCUUACCAGCUUGUUGGUGGGGUAGUGGCUUACCAAGGCUUGGACGGUUAGCCGGCCUGGGAGGGUGACCGGCCACAUGGGCCUGGGGAAGGGACCAGGGGGGAAUGGGGGGCAAGGGGUGGGAACAUUACCCAAACGGGCGGAGGCGGGAAGGAAGACCUCCGGGUUGGGAAGACCGUCUUUGGGGUAAGAAACGCAUUAGGCUGAUACCGAGCCGUGAUGACGGUAACUGGUGAAUAAGCAACGGCUAACUUCGUG
rnacentral:rRNA from 1 species